GCCAUAAUCAUGGUCGGAUGUGUGUGGACAUGCUGGCUUUGUCCUUUAUUUUUUGAAACGUGAUCCUUUCAGUAUCAGAAUUUUGUGACGUCUCGUCUGAAGAUGCCGAAUAAUAGACGUAAUAAGAGGUGAAGUCUCAUAAAAAGAAGGAAGAAGUUUCCGUGUGUACAAAGUGCAGGCACCAUAAGAAAAGCCCACUAUUAAACAGAGGUUAUUAUAUUCCAAGGAAGGAUUUGAUGUAACAACAAAAAUAAAUUGUUGAUUUCUAUAAAUAUAUGAUAAGAAAUAUAUCUGCGAACAUCUUGUCGUCUUGUGAGAAAGUAUUUGCUCUUUGAAUAAAGAAUGAAGAAUGAAGAAGGAGGUAGAGACAGUAAUGUCUUACAAGAUCUGAAAUAAUAAUUUGUAGAUAUUUACUUGCAAAAAAUUUAUAACCUACAGAAAACAAAAUUUAAAAUUAUAAUAUGUCAGCGAUGUCACAUAGAUCAAAACGGUUGCAACGAGGGAUCUAAGCUUUAAAAAACAAUGAUUCAAAUAUCUUCAGAACUAACAAUGAAGAUUCGUUCAAAUUUUGUACACCUUGGACCGCUUCCAAAUAUUGCAAUAUUUUAAGGAUAUCUCUGCUUGCUAGGGGUUGCCU